GGGGCUACAAUUGGCGGUCAGGUGGCCACCCAUGAGCUGGGCCCAGCUGUGAAGCUGGACCAUUUUUCCUCUGGAAUAAAACACUGGGCAGAGAUGCAAAGAACACCUGAGUCAGUUCUGAAAGGGUGAUUUGGACUUCAUCUGAGGGAUGGAAAAGGGUUAAUCUACCUAGUCAAGUUCACACAUCCCUACUGACAAUUCAUCUCCACAAGACAAUUUUCUGGCUUUGUUCUGCUUUGGCACAUGUCAUCUGAUGAACACAUACACUUACUAUGCAAAAUAACCUAUGUCAGCAGAAACCUUCCAUGGAGCUCCAUUAAUUUCACAUGGGCAUCAGGUCAGCUGAAAUAAAUCAUCUUGCAUGAUUAAGAAU